UGAAUUGUACAGAGUAUAAACAAUGUAAGGAUUUAUACAGAAUGAAUCAAAUUUUUCAGUACUAAGAAAAAAAACUUAACAGUCUCGAGAGUCUCCUCGAUCAUAUCCCUAUAGCAUCAAGAAGGCGCGAAUGUUCUGACACAGAAACCAAUGAAUUCGCGACAAUGGCACCACUAGCAGCAACUGCAGGAACUCCAAUGCCAGGAAAAGUAGAGUCUCCACAGCACAUGAGUUGUGGAAUUGGUGUUGAGUGUCCAGGAAACGUUCCUUUACCUGCUAAUAUAGCUGGCCCAUAGGUCCCUCUGUUUCUUCUAAGAAAUCUUUGAUGUGUCAACGGAGUUCCCACUAAUUUCACCUCACACUUAUCGCGAUUAAAUCCUGGCCCAAGUGCUUUCUCUACAGCCUUCCACAUUACCUCGGAUCUUUCAGCCUUGAGGUUUUUGUACUCAUUGCUUCGGCGAUCAAGACCUUCCCAAAUUUCAAAUGGCUCAGUUCCGGGGGUAUAAGCAUGCAAAACGUGCUUUCCAGGUGGAGCAAGAUCUGGACUAAGCACACUCGGGACAGAUAUCAGUACAACGUUCUGAUCAGCAUCAACCCCUCGGUCCCAGUCAUUAACUACUAUAUGAUGGAUUCCCAGGUCAUCAGAUAUACCCUCUGCAUCAAAACCCAAAUGCAGAUGCAUGAAUGAUUCACACUGUUGAGUCGUUUUAAUCCCGUCCUGGUAUGACUUCGGGACAGCUUCUGGAGGCAAUAAACUCAGUGUAUCCCACAUAGAUGCAUUGCUGACUACAGCCUUCCUAGCACGGACAAAUUGGCCACCUCUUAGUUUCACUCCAACAGCUCGACCCUUUUCAACAACUAUGUUUUCUACGUGACUCUUGAGAGAAAUCCGUCCACCAAACUUUUGUAAUCCUCGAACAAGAGCCUCAACAAUUGCUCCACUUCCAUGAAGUGGAUAUUCUAGAGUACAACCUGGCUUAUACCAUUCUGAGAACAUGUACACCAUUUCUGCUGAGAGUAUGCCGUUAGUUUUCACCCCGGCAAGCAAGAAAGCUAGGAGAUCCAGCCAAUUUCGUAUAAAAGGGUCUUUUAUCCCCAAAGAAUCAAUGAUAUCUGAAAAGGGUCUGAGAAGCUUGGUAGCACCAAGGGCUCCUUGAGGUCCCAUUUGAGCAAAAGAUUUUAAGAGAGAAGGUGCAUAUCUAGCUGCAGCAGUCGAAAGAACGCCCAAGUCCCCUCGGAUAGAUAGUGGAGGCAGAGCCAUUGCAGCUGCUGAGAUUGGAAGUAUCGCGUCAAGAAGUUUCCGCCACUCUCUCACUGAAUCUGGUCCUGCAUACUUCUCUAGAUCCUUAAAAAACUCUGUUGGGCCAAUGCGUGACAGGAAUUCACCUUCAGGUACAUAUACCAUCCACGAGUCAUAAUUGACACAGGGAAUCGAUUCACCUAAUGCAUCAAGAACCUGUGCUAAUGGAUUAGCCUGAGGACCUCUUGAUUGGAAACCAGAGAACAGCGAUGGACCAGAGUCGAAUUUGUACCCUUUAACAUCAAAAGAGUGAGCUGCACCUCCAGCUACAUCAUGGCUUUCGAGCACUAAAACAUCUUGUCCAUACCUAGCAAGAAGUCCAGCACAACAUAGCCCACCUAUACCGCUCCCAAUAACAACGAUAUCUGCUUCUGGCUCGCCUGCACAUUAUUCUGAGACGGAUUGUUUGGAAGGAAGAGUAGCAGAGGUAGAAACUUCACUACGCAUCGAAAAUCUACGUUUUCGAUUCGAUGAGCUGAAAUUGAAGAAUGGA
rnacentral:misc_RNA from 1 species